UUGGCGGUAACCCAAAGGACUUGGCGGUGCCUCAAACCCACCUAGAGGAGCCUGUUCUGUAACCGAUGAUCCUCGUUAAACCUCACCACUUCUUGCCAUCCCUGCCUAUAUACCGCCGUCGCCAGCUUACCUCAUGAGAGACCCAACAGUAAGCUAAAUGGGACACCCCCAAAACGUCAGGUCGAGGUGUAGCGAAUGAAGUGGAAUGAAAUGGGCUACAUUUUCUGA
rnacentral:rRNA from 1 species